UUUGAAAAGUAAGUGAGGUUGCCAUGGAGCGUAGGAGCACAUUUGUGCAAGAGUUGGCUGUUUGUGAAAUUGGUAUAGAGUUUGUUGUGUGAUACUAAAAUAAGUUAUGUUUGCAGUUUGAGGAGGUGUGGAAAGAUGAGGUGGCCGAAGAGUUUGGAGGAUUACUGGUGGGCUUGAGGAGAUGUGGCAGCAAGUGCAGAAAGGCUAUUAUUACCUGUAUGGCGCAGACUAAGCAAGUGGAAGUAGGGUACUCAUCCAGAGGUGGGGGAGAAGCGUUUGAUGUUUGAAAGGAGGCCAGUGUUGUAACCAUGCGGCCCAUGCACCAUCUCCUGCAAGGAGGUGUUGCCGUCCAUAAGACGUGGUUGGUGUUGGAGAGGGACAUUAACGCUGGACUGAGUUUUGGAGGCAGCUUUGGUGUAAGUAUUUUAGUGCCUGGAAGAAGACUUGGU